rnacentral:rRNA from 1 species
GAGAAACGGCUACCACAUCCAAGGAAGGCAGCAGGCGCGCAAAUUACCCAAUCCCGACACGGGGAGGUAGUGACAAUAAAUAACAAUACAGGGUUCUUUUGGAUCUUGUAAUUGGAAUGAGUACAAUUUAAAUCUCUUAACGAGGAACAAUUGGAGGGCAAGUCUGGUGCCAGCAGCCGCGGUAAUUCCAGCUCCAAUAGCGUAUAUUAAAGUUGUUGCAGUUAAAAAGCUCGUAGUUGAAUUUCGGGAUCAAUAUUUCGGUCAUGCCGUUGGUAUGCACUGUUAUCAUUGAUUUCUCACCUUCUAAAGAACCGUAAUGCCAUUAAUUUGGUGUUACGGGGAAUUAGGACUGUUACCUUGAAAAAAUUAGAGUGUUUAAAGCAGGCUCACGCUUGAAUACAUUAGCAUGGAAUAAUGAAAUAGGACAUCCGAUUCUAUUUUGUUGGUUUCUAGGAUCGAUGUAAUGAUUAAUAGGGAUAGUUGGGGGCAUUAGUAUUCAAUUGUCAGAGGUGAAAUUCUUGGAUUUAUUGAAGACUAACUACUGCGAAAGCAUUUGCCAAGGAUGUUUUCAUUAAUCAAGAACGAAAGUUAGGGGAUCGAAGACGAUCAGAUACCGUCGUAGUCUUAACCAUAAACUAUGCCGACUAGGGAUCGGAUGAUGUUAAUUUUUUAAUGACUCAUUCGGCGCCUUACG